UAACUAGUUAAAUAAUAUAAUUUGCAUCUCAUGUAGUUUUCAUUAUUUAUAUUACAAUUUGCCAACAGAUUCUUGCUUCAUUUCCAUUCUUUCUUCCUAAAGAACAUAUUGUGCAUGAACAAAAGACUGUCUGACUAAUGCUGAUCUUGAAUGGUUGAUAUCUUAUAUUUGAGUCUUUCGCUGCCAAAUCUAUGCAUCAUCUCUAUAAUAUUUAUAGUACUCAUUUUUUGUGACUCAAUUUAUUUGAAUCGUGAACAGUUACUUUGCCAGACCAACAAUG
rnacentral:misc_RNA from 1 species